rnacentral:lncRNA from 1 species
CUUGGAGGCAUCUGUUUAUUUUCCUCCUGCCCUACCCGUGCCCUUGCCCCUAGGUCGAUGCUCAAUCUUCCCUGACCUGAGCUUCGUGACCUUCGAUGGGAGUCAUGUAGCCCUGUUCAAGGAGGCCAUCUACAUCCUCAGCCAGAGCCCAGACGAAAUGAUCAGUGUCCAUGUCCUGGACUGCAAAAGUGCCAACCUGGGACAUCUGAACUGGCCCCCAUUCUGUCUGGUGGUACUAAAUGUGACUCACCUGGCCCAUCAGAUCACAGUUGACCGCUUCAAUAGGAAGGU